UACAGAGGGUGCAAGCGUUAAUCGGAAUUACUGGGCGUAAAGCGUGCGUAGACGGUUACAUAAGUCGGGUGUGAAAGCCCCGGGCUCAACCUGGGAAUUGCAUUCGAGACUGCGUAGCUAGGGUGCGGAAGAGGGAAGCGGAAUUUCCGGUGUAGCGGUGAAAUGCGUAGAUAUCGGAAGGAACACUAGUGGCGAAAGCGGCUUCCUGGUCCAGCACCGACGUUCAGGCACGAAAGCGUGGGGAGCAAACAGG
rnacentral:rRNA from 1 species